CCUAAUACAUGCAAGUCGAGCGAACAGAAGGGAGCUUGCUCCCGGAUGUUAGCGGCGGACGGGUGAGUAACACGUGGGUAACCUGCCUGUAAGACUGGGAUAACUCCGGGAAACCGGAGCUAAUACCGGAUAGUUCCUUGAACCGCAUGGUUCAAGGAUGAAAGACGGUUUCGGCUGUCACUUACAGAUGGACCCGCGGCGCAUUAGCUAGUUGGUGGGGUAAUGGCUCACCAAGGCGACGAUGCGUAGCCGACCUGAGAGGGUGAUCGGCCACACUGGGACUGAGACACGGCCCAGACUCCUACGGGAGGCAGCAGUAGGGAAUCUUCCGCAAUGGACGAAAGUCUGACGGAGCAACGCCGCGUGAGUGAUGAAGGUUUUCGGAUCGUAAAGCUCUGUUGUUAGGGAAGAACAAGUGCGAGAGUAACUGCUCGCACCUUGACGGUACCUAACCAGAAAGCCACGGCUAACUACGUGCCAGCAGCCGCGGUAAUACGUAGGUGGCAAGCGUUGUCCGGAAUUAUUGGGCGUAAAGGGCUCGCAGGCGGUUUCUUAAGUCUGAUGUGAAAGCCCCCGGCUCAACCGGGGAGGGUCAUUGGAAACUGGGAAACUUGAGUGCAGAAGAGGAGAGUGGAAUUCCACGUGUAGCGGUGAAAUGCGUAGAGAUGUGGAGGAACACCAGUGGCGAAGGCGACUCUCUGGUCUGUAACUGACGCUGAGGAGCGAAAGCGUGGGGAGCGAACAGGAUUAGAUACCCUGGUAGUCC
rnacentral:rRNA from 1 species